rnacentral:tRNA from 1 species
GGAGAGAUGCAGGAGUGGUUGAACUGGCCGCUCUCGAAAAGCGGUAAGCCGCAAGGCUUCGAGGGUUCGAAUCCCUCUCUCUCCGCCA